rnacentral:tRNA from 1 species
UUUAGCUCAGCUGGGAGAGCAUCUGCCUUACAAGCAGAGGGUCAGCGGUUCGAUUCCGUUAACUCCCA